UGAAGAACCUGUCCCAAAGAGAGGGAUAACAGUGGGAAACUAUUGCUAAUACCUCAUGUCGUUAAUUGAUCUCCUGGUUGAUUAAUGAAAUGAAUUUCGCUUUGGGAGGGCUUCGCGGCCUAUCAGCUUGUUGGUGAGGUAACAGCUCACCAAGGCUACGACGGGUAGCUGGUCUGAGAGGACGACCAGCCUCACUGGGACUGAGACACGGCCCAGACUCCUACGGGAGCAG
rnacentral:rRNA from 1 species